AGCAGUAGGGAAUCUUCCACAAUGGACGAAAGUCUGAUGGAGCAACGCCGCGUGUGUGAUGAAGGGUUUCGGCUCGUAAAACACUGUUGUAAGAGAAGAAUGACAUUGAGAGUAACUGUUCAGGUAUUGACGGUAUUUAACCAGAAAGCCACGGCUAACUACGUGCCAG
rnacentral:rRNA from 1 species